rnacentral:rRNA from 1 species
GAUGAACGCUAGCGACAGGCUUAACACAUGCAAGUCGAGGGGCAGCACAGGUAGCAAUACCGGGUGGCGACCGGCGCACGGGUGAGUAACGCGUAUGCAACUUACCUAUCAGAGGGGGAUAACCCGGCGAAAGUCGGACUAAUACCGCAUGAAGCAGGGGUCCCGCAUGGGGAUAUUUGCUAAAGAUUCAUCGCUGAUAGAUAGGCAUGCGUUCCAUUAGGCAGUUGGCGGGGUAACGGCCCACCAAACCGACGAUGGAUAGGGGUUCUGAGAGGAAGGUCCCCCACAUUGGUACUGAGACACGGACCAAACUCCUACGGGAGGCAGCAGUGAGGAAUAUUGGUCAAUGGCCGAGAGGCUGAACCAGCCAAGUCGCGUGAGGGAUGAAGGUUCUAUGGAUCGUAAACCUCUUUUAGAAGGGAAUAAAGUGCGGGACGUGUCCCGUUUUGUAUGUACCUUAUGAAUAAGGAUCGGCUAACUCCGUG